UCUCCCUCUUGUCCAUGUUUAGACAUGGAUGUCUUCUCUUCUUCUUGUCCAAAAGUUGGACAAAAUUCCUACAUCUCUAUUGUAGAGAUUUGGUGCAUAGAUUUUAAGAAGAAAAGAGAAGAAAGGUUCUUCUUAUGAUCUCUAGUGUAGAGAUCAAGAUCCUCCUACAUCUUCUUGUUCUCUAAGAGUAUCCUAAGAGAAAAAAAAUUUUCAACCGUCAAGAUACGAUAUCUGCAAGGGAGCUAGCAUCCCGGUG
rnacentral:lncRNA from 1 species